CAAUGGCGUAUAUUUAAGUUGCUGCAGUUAAAAAGCUCGUAGUUGGAUUUCGGGUGGGAAUGGCCGGUCCGCCGUUUCGGUGUGCACUUGCUACGCCCACCUUGCUGCCGGGGACGUGCUCUUGAGUUCACGCUCGGGACACGGAGUCGGCGAGGUUACUUUGAGUAAAUUAGAGUGUUCAAAGCAGGCCUACGCUCUGAAUACAUUAGCAUGGAAUAACACGAUAGGACUCUGGCCUAUCUUGUUGGUCUGUAGGACCGGAGUAAUGAUUAAGAGGGACAGUCGGGGGCAUUCGUAUUUCAUUGUCAGAGGUGAAAUUCUUGGAUUUAUGAAAGACGAACUACUGCGAAAGCAUUUACCAAGGAUGUUUUCAUUGA
rnacentral:rRNA from 1 species